rnacentral:rRNA from 1 species
UACAGAGGGUGCAAGCGUUGUUCGGAAUUAUUGGGCGUAAAGCGCGUGUAGGCGGCUUGGCAAGUCGGGUGUGAAAUCCCUCAGCUCAACUGAGGAAGUGCGCCCGAAACUGCUUAGCUUGAGUGCCGGAGAGGAUGGCGGAAUUCCCCAAGUAGAGGUGAAAAUUCGUAGAUAUGGGGAGGAACACCGGUGGCGAAGGCGGCCAUCUGGACGGUAACUGGACGCUGAGACGGCGAAAAGCGUGGGUAGCAAACAGG